UACGUAGGAGGCAAGCGUUGUCCGGAAUCACUGGGCGUAAAGCGCGUGUAGGCGGAAGAGGAAGUCUGCUGUGAAAGCGCCUGGCUUAACCGGGCGAGGUCGGUGGAAUGACUCCUCAUCUAGAGGGCGGUAGAGGGGGUGGAAUUCCGGGUGUAGUGGUGAAAUGCGUAGAGAUCCGGAGGAACACCUGUGGCGAAGGCGGCCCCUGGGCCGCACCUGACGCUGAGACGCGAAAGCGCGGGAGCGAACGGGAUGAGAU
rnacentral:rRNA from 1 species